rnacentral:rRNA from 1 species
GGAGUCUGGACCGUGUCUCAGUUCCAAUGUGACCGUUCAUCCUCUCAGACCGGUUACCGAUCGUCGCCUUGGUAAGCCGUUACCUUACCAACCAGCUAAUCGGACGCAGGCUCCUCGCAAAGCGAUAAAUCUUUGGUAAAUCUUUCAUGCGAACUAUUUACUUCAUUCGGUAUUAGCAGCCCUUUCGAACUGUUGUCCCCAUCUUUGCGGCAGAUUACCUACGCGUUACUCACCCGUUUGCCACUGAACCCGAAAGUUCCGUUCGACUUGCAUGUGUUAAGCACGCCG